rnacentral:tRNA from 1 species
GGCUUUAUAGUCAUAUUAAUGAUAUUAGACUGCAAUUCUAAAGGAGUAAGUUUUUACUAAGGCUU